rnacentral:lncRNA from 1 species
UUAUAGACGUCUGCUUCUGGCCAAUGUGAAGAUAGGAUAAUUGGCUAUGACAGACCCUGAAUGCAUGAAGCUUUUAAAUGUUCAUAUCACCUAAAGAGAGGAGUCAUUGCACAAAGACCCAUAAGUGUGCUGAGGCUUUACUUUGAGUUUUCCCUGUGAUUAAUCCUUUGUUCCCAGAAUAAUCUUCAGGAUCUCUCUGUAAAAUAGCAUACCUUAAAUUCUGAGAUUUUACUGACAUAUUUUCUCCAGAGUGUGUGGCAAAAAUUGGAAUGAUUUGGCUCUGUGGAGGGAUCACAUCCCAGGCUAUAGUAGAUUAUCAACAAAUUGUAAGAAGGACCCUUAAGAGGAUAGCAUAUCAUGACUCUUCCAAAGGUCCUUCCAAGCAAAAAGUUUGUAGAAGGUGGUCCCAAGGUAUGGUACUUUGAUAAACAACAGCCUAUGCAGACUUGGACUCCACCACAUGCUUGUAUGAAAAUGUGGGAUCUUCAUAUAAAUCUACUUGCCUUUAAGACCACACUUCUUGACUGAUGAAGCAUUACAGAACAGUGUGGGAAUCACAAGAGGCCACGCCCCUGUAAUCUACACAGUGCAUGAAGAAGAGCAAGUUCUUAGUUUAUGGAAGCUGACUGACAAAUAUAACUUCAAAAAACUGAACCAGUCAUCUGUGCAGGAGAAAGUAGCCAUGGCCACCAGAAAUCUUACAGAUUUGGAGAUGUCUGGGAUUGUCUCAAAAGGAUGGCUGCUGGCAAGGUGGAGUCAGUACAGACUAAACUUCUGAAAGAGAAUCUUGACGAUUGGUGUUAUUUCUGAAGCAUAAGGUUUGGAGGCAAGCCUUUUUUCUAGUGAUCUGCUGUCUCAGGUCAUAGGUAGUAUUGUGGAAAUGGA